AGAGUGAACGCUGGCGGUAGGCCUAACACAUGCAAGUCGAACGGCAGCACGGUAAGAGCUUGCUCUUAUGGGUGGCGAGUGGCGGACGGGUGAGGAAUACAUCGGAAUCUACCUUUUGGUGGGGGAUAACGUAGGGAAACUUACGCUAAUACCGCAUACGCCCUUCGGGGGAAAGCCGGGGACCAGCAAUGGCCUGGUGCUGAUAGAUGAGCCGAUGUCGGAUUAGCUAGUUGGUGAGGUAAUGGCUCACCAAGGCGACGAUCCGUAGCUGGUCUGAGAGGAUGAUCAGCCACACUGGAACUGAGACACGGUCCAGACCUCCGUACGGGA
rnacentral:rRNA from 1 species